rnacentral:rRNA from 1 species
UACGGAGGAUGCGAGCGUUAUCCGGAUUUAUUGGGUUUAAAGGGCGCGUAGGCGGAUAGUUUAGUCAGAGGUGAAAGCCCAGGGCUCAACCUUGGAAUUGCCUUUGAUACUGGCUAUCUUGAGUAUGGAAGAGGUAUGUGGAACUCCGAGUGUAGAGGUGAAAUUCGUAGAUAUUCGGAAGAACACCAGUGGCGAAGGCGACAUACUGGUCCAUUACUGACGCUGAGGCGCGAAAGCGUGAGGAGCAAACAGGAUUAGAUACCCUGGUAGACCACGCUGUAAACGAUGAGUGCUAGUUGUCGGCAUGCAUGCAUGUCGGUGACGCAGCUAACGCAUUAAGCACUCCGCCUGGGGAGUACGGUCGCAAGAUUAAA